rnacentral:rRNA from 1 species
UACGUAGGGUGCAAGCGUUAAUCGGAAUUACUGGGCGUAAAGCGUGCGCAGGCGGUUUGUAAGUCUGUCGUGAAAUCCCCGGGCUCAACCUGGGAAUUGCGAUGGAGACUGCAAGGCUAGAAUCUGGCAGAGGGGGGUAGAAUUCCACGUGUGAGCAGUGAAAUGCGUAGAGAUGUGGAGGAACACCGAUGGCGAAGGCAGCCCCCUGGGUCAAGAUUGACGCUCAUGCACGAAAGCGUGGGGAGCAAACGAGG